rnacentral:rRNA from 1 species
UACAGAGGUCUCAAGCGUUGUUCGGAUUCAUUGGGCGUAAAGGGCGCGUAGGCUGCGGGGCAAGUCGGGUGUGAAAUCUCAGAGCUCAACUCUGAAACUGCACUCGAUACUGCUUUGCUUGAGGACUGGAGAGGAGAUUGGAAUUCACGGUGUAGCAGUGAAAUGCGUAGAUAUCGUGAGGAAGACCAGUGGCGAAGGCGGAUCUCUGGACAGUUCCUGACGCUGAGGCGCGAAGGCCAGGGGAGCAAAACGGGG